UAUGUUCUUCCUCUCUCAUUCUUGUUCUUCCCUGCAUCCAAAUCCAAAGACCAAACUUAUAUGCACAACAUACAUUAUAUAUUAAUCUAGUAAAAUAAAUAAAUAAAAUAAAAUAAAAUUAAUAUUCCAUACAUACUUGAUUUGUUUCUCCUUCUAGAAGAAUGGACAAUUUGUGGUAUAAAAACACCAGUCCCAAUAUUUCCACUAGUACUUCUCCACAAGUUUCACAUCCACAAAGGUGGUCCACCACCACUAUUAUUAUCCUCCUUAAUCACGGGCCAACCGUAAUUAUACAAAACGGGCUGGAUAGUGCUAAACGGGCCAUAUAACGGGCCACAUUCCUUGUUCUCGUAUUUAAUAACUUCUUCGUCUUCAUCAGCUGUCAAUUGCAAGACUUGCCUUUUGAGUUCAUCGUACAAAACAUCAUCGUC
rnacentral:lncRNA from 1 species